rnacentral:rRNA from 1 species
CAGCACCUCAAGUGGUCAGGAUGAUUAUUGGGCCUAAAGCAUCCGUAGCCGGCGCUGUAAGUUUUCGGUUAAAUCUGUACGCUCAACGUACAGGCUGCCGGGAAUACUGCAGCGCUAGGGAGUGGGAGAGGUAGACGGUACUCGGUAGGAAGGGGUAAAAUCCUUUGAUCUAUUGAUGACCUCCUGUGGCGAAGGCGGUCUACCAGAACACGUCCGACGGUGAGGGAUGAAAGCUGGGGGAGCAAACCGGAUUAGAGACCCGAGUAGUCC